CCCAUGGGUAUAUUGUUUUUAAAUAUUCAAUGAAAGACGUUUGGAGAACGUCAAACUUUCUUUGCCACAGAGAGAAUGAGAGGACGGGGACAAGAAUGUACAGCAAGAACUUGCAGAACUCGGACAGAAGUGAAUUACCGGAUCUGAACACCUGAGUAGGUAAAGAAGCACAGCUGCACAAGCAAAGAAGAAACACUACUACCAUGAAUGCCCAAGACUUGUAUGACAAUGUGCUGCAGGGAAGAGAGCCCCAAGAGUGACACCACCAUUGAUGAGACACCCGAGGACAACCUCUGGCUACAACUGGGCUUUACUG